GGCCUCUGGCGCGGAAUUUGUCCCAAGAGAUACUCCUGGGUUGAUUUCCUGAAAGGAGAUUGGGCAUCCUAUUCGGUAGGCGGGGGAGAGACCCCUAACCUGUGGGUCAUUACCGAUCUUGUGAUCCCAUGUGUUUGCGUGCACGGAUGAGACAUUGAUCACACAAGGGAAAAGAGACUCAAGAAACAAAGAAUGCCAGCGGAAGGGACCUUGGGGGUCAUUUACUACAGAAGAGGGGACAGCUAGGCCACUAUCCAUCUUGGAGCCUGGCACAGAGUGAACGCUCAAUAAGCUUGUAUUGAAUAAGAAAGUGCAAGUGGUUCCUCCAAGGUCACUGGUCAGAGUUAGAACAGCCCGUAGCCUCGGGCCAAGAAGACGCCGCGAGCCCGACAGCUCUCACAGCCUCAGGCAACCGCCACACCCGCGGCCGCUCGCGCCGGCGCACUAGGUGCUCCACGCGCUCACUGCGACAAAGUACCAUCCUCCCGGAGGGAGCGCGCGCAGUCGCUCCCGGAAGUGGCCCCUCGCACUCGCCGGAACCCUCCCCUUCCUCUCGAGGCCGGCUGGCGUCUUCCCCCCAAAGCUUCUUCCCUAGGCGCGGGGCGACUGAACCGCGGGGGUUGAAGCUUCUCUCUACCGGGAAGAGGAGGGGGCUGGUGGCGGGACGGUGCUGGCUUGAGAAGGCCCGGCCGGCGGCGUCCCCUCGCAGCACACCGCAGGCCUGUCGUGGGCGCUCUGUGCCCACUGCUUUUCGUAGGCGCAGCGACUGGAAACUCCCAAAGCUGUCUCAGCUGGCCGCCGACCCGAGUACCCGGCCCAAGAGAUGCAGCCUACAAACUGAUUCUGAAGAACCGGUUCCAUUCUUCCGCUAACCGUCACUUCGGUUUCUUUGAUCGUAAAGUAAGAGCUGAG
ensembl:lincRNA